AGAAUCAACGCUGGCGGCGUGCCUAACACAUGCAAGUCGAACGAGAAAGUGGAGCAAUCCAUGAGUAAAGUGGCGCACGGGUGAGUAACACGUGACUAACCUACCUUUUAGUGGGGGAUAACCUAGGGAAACCUGGGCUAAUACCGCAUAAUACCUACGGGUCAAAGCAGCAAUGCGCUGAUAGAGGGGGUCGCGGCCGAUUAGCUAGUUGGCGGGGUAAUGGCCCACCAAGGCAGUGAUCGGUA
rnacentral:rRNA from 1 species